CCUGCCGGACCUGACUGCUAUCGGAUUGAUACUAAGCCAUGCGAGUCUUUGUAGUAAUACAAGGCAGACGGCUCAGUAACACGUAGUCAAUCUACCCUAUGGACGAGGAUAACCUCGGGAAACUGAGAAUAAUACUCGAUAGAUCAUUAUGCCUGGAAUGGUUUAUGGUCGAAAUGAUUUAUCGCCGUAGGAUGGGACUGCGGUCUAUCAGCUUGUUGGUGAGGUAAUGGCCCACCAAGGCUAUAACAGAUACGGGCUCUGAGAGGAGAAGCCCGGAGAUGGGUACUGAGACACGGACCCAGGCCCUAUGGGGCGCAGCAGGCGAGAAAACUUUGCAAUGUGCGAAAGCACGACAAGGUUAAUCCGAGUGUUUUCUGCUAAAGAAAUCUUUUGUCAGUCCUAAAAACACUGAUGAAUAAGGGGUGGGCAAGUUCUGGUGUCAGCCGCCGCGGUAAAACCAGCACCUCAAGUGGUCAGGAGGAUUAUUGGGCCUAAAGCAUCCGUAGCCGGCUCUGUAAGUUUUCGGUUAAAUCUAUACGCUCAACGUAUAGGCUGCCGGGAAUACUGCAUAGCUAGGGAGUGGGAGAGGUAGACGGUACUCGGUAGGAAGGGGUAAAAUCCUUUGAUCUAUUGAUGACCACCUGUGGCGAAGGCGGUCUACUAGAACACGUCCGACGGUGAGGGAUGAAAGCUGGGGGAGCAAACCGGAUUAGAUACCCGGGUAGUCCCAGCUGUAAACUAUGCAAACUCAGUGAUGCACUGGCUUGUGGCCAGUGCAGUGCCGCAGGGAAGCCGUUAAGUUUGCCGCCUGGGAAGUACGUACGCAAGUAUGAAACUUAAAGGAAUUGGCGGGGGAGCACCACAAGGGGUGAAGCCUGCGGUUCAAUUGGAGUCAACGCCGGG
rnacentral:rRNA from 1 species